AGAAUCAACGCUGGCGGCGUGCCUAACACAUGCAAGUCGAACGAGAAAGGGGAGCAAUCCCUGAGUAAAGUGGCGACCGGGUGAGUAACACGUGACUAACCUACCCUCGAGUGUGGAAUAACAUCGGGAAAACCGAUGCUAAUACCGCAUAACAUCGGCGCUUUUAAGAGAUGCCGAUCAAAGGAGCAAUCCGCUUGAGGAGGGGGUCGCGGCUGAUUAGCUAGUUGGCGGGUAACGGCCCACCAAGGCGAAAGAUCGGGU
rnacentral:rRNA from 1 species